rnacentral:sRNA from 1 species
GCCAGGUGUGGUGGCGUACGCCUGUAAUCCCAGCAGCUUGGGAGGCUGAGGCAGGAGGACCUCAAGUUCAAAGUCAGCCUAAGGAACUUAGUGAGGCCCUAAGCAACUUAGGGAAAUCCUGUCUCUA